UCACCAUGGCAUCUUCUCAAUCAUCAUCUUUAGAUAAUGAUUUUGUGAUGAAGUCACCAACUUGUUGGUGUGGUUUGAAAACGCCACUAAAAACUUCCUACACUAAGAAAAAUUUUGGAAGGAGAUUUUUUGCCUGCCCCAAGUAUAAUACGGGAGAUGCGAGGUGUGAAUUCUUCGUAUGGGUGGAUAUUUUUCAGUUGUUAGUGGAGAACAUGUUAUUAAAAGAGAAUAAGGCCUGGAAGACGUGGGAUGAUGUAUUACAACGCGAGUAUGCCGUUCGAAAAAUGGAAGAAAAAGUGAGAGAGAUAGCGAAGAAUCUGAAAAA